UGGACUAGUGUUAUAUUACACGGUCAUGGUAACGAGUAUAUGAAGUGUGUCGAAAAUGAUCACCAUUUAAAUGAAUUAAUAUCAAGAAAUUAAUUAUAUGUGUAAUUGGUUAAAUGCUGGAUUAUAGUGGGGAUGAAGGAAUUAAAUACUUAGUUAUUUGAUAAUAUUACGUGCCAACCAUUCUACGUGGAAGUCUUGGAAAUGAGCAGCAUAUGACUAUGCAAAUUUAUGUAAUGGGUGACAUAUUUUGGUGUAGUGUGAUCAUUAUCAUUAUGAGCUAAGUGGACCCCAAAACCCACUAUAAAAGGAUUUAUAUAGAGAUCAUUCUAGUGGGAAACAAUUCAAGUAAAAUAUUUGGGCAGUAACGAUUUUUCCAUGGAAAAGUUUGCAAACUUAGCAAUCUUGUUUUGGAAAGUAAAAACACUUAGGUAAUGUUUAAGGGACAAUAUGUCCACAUGGGUCCCAUGUGGGGAAAGAUCAUUUUUUAUGUGUAAUUAUAAGUAUAGAUAAAUGUGGCUUUUAGGGAGUGACCUUGUUAAAUUAUAAUAGUGACUAAUUAAUCAAAUGAGUAGCUAGUGAAGUGGUAGGAGUCCACGUGUAUUAUUUUUAUUCACAUGGAAAGCUUCUAAUAAAUUCACAUGGUAUGCUAACGUGUCCCUAUAGGAUACAAUGAGCCAAAAGUUAGGCCAGUAAUUUGUUUACAUAGUGGAAGGUUAACAUUGAAAGGACCAAACAUUUUCAGCAACUUUCCACUUCAUUUUCUAUUUCAAGAAUCAAUGUUCAUCUUUGGAAGAGUGCAAAACGUUGCUAUCAAUUCUUAUGCACUUUGAAUAAGCAAAUUGAUAGAAGUUGCUUACGGUUGUAGCUCAUCUGGAGCCCUCGGCUAAGCGCCAUUUUUUUUGAAAGAAAGAUUAUAAUUUCCACCAAGAAUUUUAAGAGGUCAAGCUUGCUAGUAAGGUUUUUCUUCCAGUUGUUGAGACCUGCGAGCACGAGAAGUAGACGUUGGACAUUAGAUAGAGUUCAAGGUAGACAGGGAGGUGAGCUUGAUCCAGAUUCUUAGUAACUGUCAGCUGAUUGAGAGAACUCUAUUGUUCGGAGCAGGAGAGUGGUGUCGACAAGUGAAGGUAAAUAAUGCUACUGGAAGUUACAGAGGCUAAUAUUUCAUUGAGGUUACGUUAUCAGAAAUUAUAUACAAAGAAUGGCGACUGGUCAUCAUCAAGGUUAGUAAUUGUGAAUAUAGUAAGAAAAUGGAUUGAAUGUAUAUAUAUUGACGAUAAGUUCAGUUAUAAAGUGUGAACAGAAGAAGCUGAAGGAAUUAGUAAAAAGAUAAGUAAGCAGGGUAUAUGUUAGAUAUGGUGCAGAUUACAGGUAUGAUUGAUAUGUCGCUAAAGAUUUAAAAGGGAAAGGAGAUAGAAAAGUAUAACGGGUACAGUUUGAGUUGGACAUACGAGGUAAGUUCAUCAUUUUUUUUUAUAUACGGUUGUUGAUAUUGGGAGCCCUGUGUGGCUAUGAUAUGAUAUAUAUAUACUGGCCCUGUGAGGCAUUGUUGGUAUUUCCUGCGUGCAGGUUUUGGGAUAGUAAGAAAUACAGAGAAAACUCUGUCGAAAUUUUCCUAGAAUUAAAGGAGAAUGAGAUAUAGGUUCGUAAAAGGUCUUGAAAGGUCAUGUCAACAGUAAUGAUAAGAUUUGACUAAGUUGCGAGUAUGGCUGACUUCAAAAAAUAAUAAGUUAAUCGUUGAAUUGAUGGUAAUAGUAAUUAUGAGGUCGAUAUCGAUAUGGUAAAAAGAAAUGCUAGGACAAUUUGGAAGGGCUUGUGAUAAUAAGAGAUGAUUUAGAAAAGGUUGGCAAAUUUUAAUAUAGCGUUAUAUUGAGGUAUCAACUGAAUUAAUAAGCAAGGUGAGACACGACAUGAUAGAAGAGUAACUGAUUCUUCAUAAGAUCACCAUAUCCAGUAUACUUAUACAGGACUAGUUUAACAUUCGAGGACGAAUGUUCUAAAGGGGGGAAGAAUGUUACAUCCCGUAUUUUCGUGCGUUGGAAAGCGUGCGAGUUAAAUGACAUUAGUAACGGAAGCGAGGUUAUCCCUCAACCUUAUAGGCGGUAUUGAUGGUACAGAUGUGUUAUAAAUAUUAGAAUUUAAACAAAGCUAAGAAAAUAAGUUUCGUCGAGGUUCAAAAUUUAUUUAAAUGAAAUACAGUCCAAGCUAUAAUAUCCUGUAUUUUUGUACUAGGAAAUCGAAGCGUCUAGGAUGAGCAAAUUGUACCGAUUGUAAGAUUUGGUCAUAGUCAAACAUGAAAAUAAAAGAAUUCGGUGUACACAAGAAAUGGAGUCCCGAGAUAAUUUAAGAUGGAAAAGUGUGAUUACUGGAAAUAAUAUUUUAUGUGUGGCAAAUGAGGUUAUGGACUAGUGUUAUAUUACACGGUCAUGGUAAUGAGUAUAUGAAGUGUGUCGAAAAUGAUCACCAUUUAAAUGAAUUAAGAUCAAGAAAUUAAUUAUAUGUGUAAUUGGUUAAAUGCUGGAUUAUAGUGGGGAUGAAGGAAUUAAAUACUUAGUUAUUUGAUAAUAUUACGUGCCAACCAUUCUACGUGGAAGUCUUGGAAAUGAGCAGCAUAUGACUAUGCAAAUUUAUGUAAUGGGUGACAUAUUUUGGUGUAGUGUGAUCAUUAUCAUUAUGAGCUAAGUGGACCCCAAAACCCACUAUAAAAGGAUUUAUAUAGAGAUCAUUCUAGUGGGAAACAAUUCAAGUAAAAUAUUUGGGCAGUAACGAUUUUUCCAUGGAAAAGUUUGCAAACUUAGCAAUCUUGUUUUGGAAAGUAAAAGCACUUAGGUAAUGUUUAAGGGACAAUAUGUCCACGUGGGUCCCAUGUGGGGAAAGAUCAUUUUUUAUGUGUAAUUAUAAGUAUAGAUAAAUGUGGCUUUUAGGGAGUGACCUGGUUAAAUUAUAAUAGUGACUAAUUAAUCAAAUGAGUAGCUAGUGAAGUGAUAGGAGUCCACGUGUAUUAUUUUUAUUCACAUGGAAAGCUUCUAAUAAAUCCACAUGGUAUGCUAACGUGUCCCUAUAGGAUACAAUGAGCCAAAAGUUAGGCCAGUAAUUUGUUUACAUAGUGGAAGGUUAACAUUGAAAGGACCAAACAUUUUCAGCAACUUUCCACUUCAUUUUCUAUUUCAAGAAUCAAUGUUCAUCUUUGGAAGAGUGCAAAACGUUGCUAUCAAUUCUUAUGCACUUUGAAUAAGCAAAUUGAUAGAAGUUGCUUACGGUUGUAGCUCAUCUGGAGCCCUCGGCUAAGUGCCAUUUUUUUUGAAAGAAAGAUUAUAAUUUCCACCAAGAAUUUUAAGAGGUCAAGCUUGCUAGUAAGGUUUUUCUUCCAGUUGUUGAGGUAAGGUUUAUUCCCUCCUACAUGUUCUAGAGAUGGUUUUGGUCUUUAUACAAUUAGAUGGAUGUUGAAUUUGUGAAAGUAAAACUUAAGUCAUGCUAGAACUUGUACUGAUUUUAUGGGCUGUUUUGGAAGUGAUUUAAGAAUGGAUUUAAUUCUAGUUUGAUAUGAAAUUGUUGGUAUUGUUGUUGUUAGUAUUUUUAUUGAUGUUUGGCUAAGUUGGAAUUUCGAGGAUUGUUAAGUUUACAGGAGAAAUGCUGCCCGAAUUUUGUUAAGUUUCAUUCGUACUUGGAUUGGUUAGCAAGUGAUGUGGAUAAUCUAACUGUGGCCUAUGUUAUCUUAAUUUUAGACCUGCGAGCUCGAGAAGUAGACGUUGGACAUUAGAUAGAGUUCAAGGUAUGUGAGGCUAGUCCUUUCUUUCUAUGGCAUGAAUCUUAUAGCUUGACUCUCUUUUUAUCCAUAAGUUCCCUUAAGUUCCGGAAAAUAUGAGUCUAUGUCCGUAAUUAGCCACACAAGGUAAUGAGUAAAGUAUAGAAAUCCCAAUACUCAUGUUGUGAUGAUCCUAUGAUGUUAAUGAUACUAUUUAUUGCUUACACUCACCUUAUAUGCCAAUUCCUUCAAGGUGAGGCAGGAUGUCAAUGAAUGUUCCAUAAUGACGUCGGAAGCCACCGACCUUACGUCACUCCGAUAUAGUUAAGGCUUUUGAUUGGGCUCUUAUGCAUGUUUUAUAUAUAUAUAUGUAUGUAUUUUAUCACACCGCGCCGCGCUAUAGUCGGCCGGGCAGGCACGUAGAUGUGCACACCACUAUAGUGGGCAGCUUAUACCCCGGACGCGGGAGGCCUGGACGCAGGCUAUUAUUAUCACACCGCUCCUACAUGGACGGGCAGCUUAUACAUUAUCACACCGUACCUAUAUGGACGGGCAGCUUAUAUAUGUAUACAUACAUGACAUGAUAAUGAUUAUGAGUAAUUCAGCAUGCAUUAUUUCAUUUAUAUUUGACAGCCAGUACAGAUUGCUCUUUCUUGAUGACUCCUUAUUUCAUUGAUGCUUUCCUAUUUCAUUGAUAUAUUGUUAUUGUUUAUGCCUCUCAUACUCAGUACAAUAUUCGUACUGACGUCCGUUUUCUUCGGACGCUGUGUUCAUGCCCACAGGUAGACAGGGAGGUGAGCUUGAUCCAGAUUCUUAGUAACUGUCAGCUGAUUGAGAGCACUCUAUUGUUCGGAGGUGCUUAUGUUUAUUCUUUUGGUUCAUAUAUGUAUUUUGCGCACGACGGAGUCUUGUUUCGUCUAUAUGUAUAAUAUGUCAGUAGAGGCUCGUAGACGCGCAGUGUGGGUUAGAUGGUCUCACAAGAUUACUAUGUUAUACUUGUAUAUGUUAUUUUGAUAGCCUAAGGGGCGCAUGUAUAUAAAAUCAUUUGUGUUUUUUUUAAAAUGAAAAAUGGUUGUCUUAUGAUUAUGAGAUUAUGAAUGAUAAAGAAAUGUAAAAAGGUUAUGAUGA